GAUGAACGCUGGCGGCGUGCCUAAUACAUGCAAGUCGAGCGAACGGACGAGAAGCUUGCUCCUCUGAUGUUAGCGGCGGACGGGUGAGUAACACGUGGAUAACCUACCUAUAAGACUGGGAUAACUUCGGGAAACCGGAGCUAAUACCGGAUAAUAUUUUGAACCGCAUGGUUCAAAAGUGAAAGACGGUCUUGCUGUCACUUAUAGAUGGUUCCGCGCUGCAUUAGCUAGUUGGUAAGGUAACGGCUUACCAAGGCAACGAUGCGUAGCCGACCUGAGAGGAUGAUCGGCCACACUGGAACUGAGACACGGUCCAGACUCCUACGGGAGGCAGCAGUAGGGAAUCUUCCGCAAUGGGCGAAAGCCUGACGGAGCAACGCCGCGUGAGUGAUGAAGGUCUUCGGAUCGUAAAACUCUGUUAUUAGGGAAGAACAUAUGUGUAAGUAACUGUGCACGUCUUGACGGUACCUAAUCAGAAAGCCACGGCUAACUACGUG
rnacentral:rRNA from 1 species